rnacentral:rRNA from 1 species
UUAAGCUACUAAGGGCCUACGGUGGAUGCCUUGGUGCUAGGCGUCGAUGAAGGGCGUGAUAAACUGCGAUAAGCUUUGGGUAACAGUUCUAUGUUUUGAUCCAGAGAUUCCCGAAUCGGGCAACCGGAUAGACAAUUUAAUGUCUAUCGAUUGCGUUUGAAUGAAUGCGAUCGGUAACUGGGGGAAGUGAAACAUCUCAGUACCCCAAGGAAAAGAAAGAAAAAUCGAUUCUCUGAGUAGCGGCGAGCGAAACGGGAAUAGCCUAAACCAAAUAUGUGUGAUAGUCUGUACACGUUGCAUAUUUGGUGUUGUGGGACAUAAUCGGAGUGACGUGCAGGUCACUCGAGAAGUUACAAAUAAAUUUUCUAGCUUAAGAACUCUGGAAUAGGUUCACCAUAGAAGGUGACAGUCCUGUGAGCGAAAGGAAAUUUACUUCCUGGAUUUUGUUCCCGAGUACCACGGGAUAGCCAAACCUGUGGGAAUCUAGGAGGACCAUCUCCUAAGGCUAAAUAUGACCUAGCAACCGAUAGUGAAAAAGUACUGUGAAGGAAAGGUGAAAAGUUCCCCGGGAGGGAAGUGAAAUAGAACCUGAAACCGUAAUGGCCUACAAGCUGUGGAAGUGCUAGACCAAGCUUUGCUUGGUAUGCAUGACCGCGUGCCUUUUGCAUAAUGAGCCGGUGACUUACUCUGUGUAGCAAGAUUAAGCUUUUCUGAAGCGUAGUCGUAGUGAAAACGAGUCUGAAUAGGGCGUAUAGUUGCAUGGAGUAGACCCGAAACUGGGUGAUCUAUCCAUGGGCAAGGCGAAGCGUAUGUAAAAAUACGUGAAGGCCUGAACCCACCAAGGCUGAAAACUUGGGGGAUGACCUGUGGAUCGGAGUGAAAGGCUAAUCAAACCCAGUAAUAGCUGGUUCUCCCCGAAAUAGCUUUAGGGCUAGCCUUAUGUGUUCAACGGUGGAGGUAGAGCUCUAAUUGGACUAGCGGCCCUACCAGGUUAGCAACUCCAGUUAAACUGCAAAUACCAUCGUUCCAAAGCAUGGGAGUCAGUCAGUGGGGGAUAAGCUCCAUUGACGAAAGGGAAACAGCCCGGACCGCCAGCUAAGGUCCCCAAAUACAAGUUAAGUGGCAAAGGAUGUUUUGUUACAUAGACAGCCAGGAUGUUGGCUUAGAAGCAGCCAUUCAUUUAAAGAGUGCGUAACAGCUCACUGGUCAAGCGGCUUUGCACCGAAAAUUUCAGGGGCUUAAACUUGUUACCGAAGCUGCGGAUUGUUCUCGUUUACGAGAAUAGUGGUAGGGGAGCGUUCUAUAGUAGGUUGAAGGAGAAUUGAAAAACUCUCUGGACAAAUUAGAAGUGAUCAUGCCGGCAUGAGUAGCGAUAAAACAAGUGAGAAGCUUGUUCGCCGUAAGCCUAAGGUUUCCUGUGGAAGGCAAGUCCGCACAGGGUUAGUCGCGUCCUAAGUCGAGGCUGAAAAGCGUAGACGAUGGGUAACAGGUUAAUAUUCCUGUACCACCACCGGGCGAGUGAAUCUAGGGGAGACGCAAACAUUAGAAUCUACUAGCGGAUGGAAGUGCUAGGUCAAGCGGACGGAGGUUCCGGUUAAUCCCGGAGUUUACCUCUGAAAGUGAUGAGGUGUCCUUAAGGACUGAACUGAUUCGGUUGUUUGCCAAGAAAAGAACCCCGAGAGGACAAAUGGUGGUGUGCGUACCGCAAACCGACACAGGUAGGCAAGGAGAAUAUCCUAAGGCGCUCGAGAGAACUCUCGCUAAGGAACUCGGCAAAAUGGCUCCGUAACUUCGGGAGAAGGAGUGCUUGAGUUGACUGGUUCGCCAGUCUAGCGAAAGCCGCAGUGAAAAGGCCCAUGCGACUGUUUACUAAAAACACAGGUCUGUGCUAAAUCGCAAGAUGAUGUAUACGGACUGACGCCUGCCCGGUGCUGAAAAGUUAAGGAGAGGGGUUAGAGCUUAGGCUCGAAGCUCUGAACCGAAGCUUCAGUAAACGGCGGCGGUAACUAUAACCGUCCUAAGGUAGCGAAAUUCCUCGUCGGGUAAAAUCCGACCUGCACGAAUGGCGUAACGA